UGAGUAACACGUGGGUAACCUGCCUGUAAGACUGGGAUAACUCCGGGAAACCGGGGCUAAUACCGGAUGGUUGUUUGAACCGCAUGGUUCAAACAUAAAAGGUGGCUUCGGCUACCACUUACAGAUGGACCCGCGGCGCAUUAGCUAGUUGGUGAGGUAACGGCUCACCAAGGCGACGAUGCGUAGCCGACCUGAGAGGGUGAUCGGCCACACUGGGACUGAGACACGGCCCAGACUCCUACGGGAGGCAGCAGUAGGGAAUCUUCCGCAAUGGACGAAAGUCUGACGGAGCAACGCCGCGUGAGUGAUGAAGGUUUUCGGAUCGUAAAGCUCUGUUGUUAGGGAAGAACAAGUACCGUUCGAAUAGGGCGGUACCUUGACGGUACCUAACCAGAAAGCCACGGCUAACUACGUGCCAGCAGCCGCGGUAAUACGUAGGUGGCAAGCGUUGUCCGGAAUUAUUGGGCGUAAAGGGCUCGCAGGCGGUUUCUUAAGUCUGAUGUGAAAGCCCCCGGCUCAACCGGGGAGGGUCAUUGGAAGCUGGGGAACUUGAGUGCAGAAGAGGAGAGUGGAAUUCCACGCGUAGCGGUGAAAUGCGUAGAGAUGUGGAGGAACACCAGUGGCGAAGGCGACUCUCUGGUCUGUAACUGACGCUGAGGAGCGAAAGCGUGGGGAGCGAACAGGAUUAGAUACCCUGGUAGUCCACGCCGUAAACGAUGAGUGCUAAGUGUUAGGGGGUUUCCGCCCCUUAGUGCUGCAGCUAACGCAUUAAGCACUCCGCCUGGGGAGUACGGUCGCAAGACUGAAACUCAAAGGAAUUGACGGGGGCCCGCACAAGCGGUGGAGCAUGUGGUUUAAUUCGAAGCAACGCGAAGAACCUUACCAGGUCUUGACAUCCUCUGACAAUCCUAGAGAUAGGACGUCCCCUUCGGGGGCAGAGUGACAGGUGGUGCAUGGUUGUCGUCAGCUCGUGUCGUGAGAUGUUGGGUUAAGUCCCGCAACGAGCGCAACCCUUGAUCUUAGUUGCCAGCAUUCAGUUGGGCACUCUAAGGUGACUGCCGGUGACAAACCGGAGGAAGGUGGGGAUGACGUCAAAUCAUCAUGCCCCUUAUGACCUGGGCUACACACGUGCUACAAUGGACAGAACAAAGGGCAGCGAAACCGCGAGGUUAAGCCAAUCCCACAAAUCUGUUCUCAGUUCGGAUCGCAGUCUGCAACUCGACUGCGUGAAGCCGGAAUCGCUAGUAAUCGCGGAUCAGCAU
rnacentral:rRNA from 1 species